rnacentral:lncRNA from 1 species
GUUUGGAGUGGAUACAAAGUCAUUAGUAUCAUGCAACGUCAGUGUCAUUUUAUUUUCUUGUGAUUCCUUUAUGAUUUUGAUCGUUUUUAAAAUUGAAGAAUGUUUUAGUCAUGUUUUGAACUUAUUGGAAAUUCCCAAAAUGUAAAAAAAAAAAAAAAAAGAUGUCGAACUUUCAAAUUAGAACCAGUCACUGACACGCAAGAAUACAUCUUGGAGGAAGAGGACGGAGGGGCACCACCGAUCACACAACAGGAAGUCAGCUCGACAUAACAGCACGCCGCAUCUCAAGGCUUCCUCUUCCGCAUCACUGAGCCAGAUAAAAACACUGAAUUCAGGCACCACCAACGCUGCCCCAUUUGCCCUCGCAACACACACACACACCUGCCAGGACGUAACGUGCAGAAGGAAGACGCGGCCGCUGCUGUCCCCACUGGAGCAGAGAGGACGUGAGCCUUUGAUGUUCCACUCAAAAUGAUUAAUUCCCAGC